rnacentral:rRNA from 1 species
CGUGAGCGACCUUGCCUCGUGGUGGGGGAUAGCCGGCCCAACGGCCGGGUAAUACCGCAUAGGGUAGUUUCUUCGCAUGGGGAGACUAGCAAAGCUGAGUAGCAAUACUUGGCGCCACAGGGGGGCUCGCGGCCUAUCAGCUAGUUGGGGGGGUAAUGGCCCACCAAGGCGACGACGGGUAGCUGGUCUGAGAGGAUGGCCAGCCACAUUGGGACUGAGAGACGGCCCAG